rnacentral:rRNA from 1 species
GAUGAACGCUGGCGGCGUGCCUAAUACAUGCAAGUCGAGCGAACGGACGAGAAUCUUGCUUCUCUGAUGUUAGCGGCGGACGGGUGAGUAACACGUGGAUAACCUACCUAUAAGACUGGGAUAACUUCGGGAAACCGGAGCUAAUACCGGAUGAUAUUUUGAACCGCAUGGUUCAAAAGUGAAAGACGGUCUUGCUGUCACUUAUAGAUGGAUCCGCGCUGCAUUAGCUAGUUGGUAAGGUAACGGAAUACCAAGGCAACGAUGCAUAGCCGACCUGACAGGGUGGUCGGCCACACUAGAACUGAGACACGGUCCAGACUCCUACGGGACGCAGCAGUAGGGAAUCUUCCGCAAUGGGCGAAAGCCUGACGGAGCAAAGCCGCGUGAGUGAUGAAGGUCUUCGGCUCUUAAAACUCUGUUAUUAGGGAAGAACAUAUGUGUAAGUUACUGUGCACAUCUUGACGGUACCUAAGCAGAAAGCCACGGCUAACUACGUG